rnacentral:tRNA from 1 species
AAGGCCUUAGCUUAAUUAAAGUGUUUGUUUUGCAUACAGAAGAUGUGGGGUAGAGUCCUGCAGGUCUUA